AAGGCUCCGCUAGGGAAUUCAGGAAAGACCAAAAAGCAGCCACUGGUCUCUCACCAUCACCUCAAAACCAGCACAAAACCAUAAGAAAGCAAGCCAAUUAGGCCAAAUAUUGGAAAAAAAACAAGAGAAAAAAAUGCUGAGAAACCUUGAGUUACACUUCAGUACUCGCCAAGCCAUGAUCUUGGUUAUGAGACUACUCUCUUCUCUUUUAUUCUCUCUCUUAUCUUCUCUUAGCAGCCAUGGAUACCCAAUCAACACAUUCAUCUAUGCAGGCUGCUCUCAAGAAAAAUACCAACCCAAUUCACCCGUUGAAGGAAAUCUCAACUCUUUUCUAACAUCGGCAGUCAGCUCGUCUUCUCAACUUUCUUACAACAGCUUCGCUGCAGGAAAUGGAAGCUCCACAACACCCGAUGACAGUAGCAUAACUGGCUUAUACCAGUGCAGGGGGGAUUUGAAGAUCUUUGACUGUUCGAAAUGCAUUGAAAGUGCAGCAAGUCAAAUAGCCUUAGUCUGUCCAUACUCUUAUGGGGCUUCUCUGCAACUCGAAGGCUGCUACAUAAGAUAUGAGCAUGUUGAUUUCUUGGGAAAGCUUGACACAAGUCUUAGGCAUACUAAGUGCAGUAAAAGUGUAAGCAAUGAUUUUGAGUUCUUUAGGCGUAGAGAUGGCGUUCUUGCUGAUUUGCUAGGGGCCAUUGGAUUUAGAGUGAGUAGUUUCGGUUCAGUGCAAGGUUUUGCACAGUGUGUGGGGGAUUUGAACCCAACAGAUUGCUCUUCUUGUCUUGCGGAUGCUGUUGGAAAGUUGAAGAAUGUAUGUGGAUCAGCUACUGCAGCGGACGUGUAUUUGGCGCAGUGUUAUGCUCGGUACUGGGCAUCUGGCUACUAUGAUGCCUCUUCAGAUUCCUCUAACGAGGAUCAAGUGGGAAAAACAGUAGCAAUUAUUGUUGGGAUACUAGCAGGUGUAGCCCUUUUCAUCGUUCUUCUCUCAAUUUGCCGAAGAACCAUGGGUUAAGGAGAUUGAAGAUAUGGCCCGCUUAAUUAAUUUCUUUCCGUUAAUUAUCGAAGCUGGUUAAUUCUCACUAGGCCUGAAAACUGAACUGGACGAUGGCGGUCGGUUCCGACGAUUCCUGUUCAUGUCAGCCAGUGAUAACCCAUGUUGCAAAGGUGACGCUGGAUGUUAUCUUCUGGUAUAAAGUAACACUCUGAUCCCCAUUAACUUACAAAAGAAGAGACGGGCUGCCGAUUCCAUUCUCUUGAUCACGCUAUCCAACAAAAUCCCGUCGGUACUACUUUUCAAUAUAAUGUUCUUAAAGUACCACUUUUAAUUUUCUGAAGCUAUAUGUCAUGUUUCUAUAUAUUCGAUCUAUUAUGUUAGGAAAUUCUGCAUGAUUAUUAUGUAAAUGAUUUAUAUAAACUUAAAGUCAUCCACUCCUUUUGAAAAAAACUUUAUAAAUUUGAGACCAGAUCUAUUAUGUACGCUCUAAGAUUAUAUCUAA